GACGAACGCUGGCGGCGUGCUUAACACAUGCAAGUCGAACGGAAAGGCUCCAGCUUGCUGGAGUACUCGAGUGGCGAACGGGUGAGUAACACGUGGGUAAUCUGCCCUGCACUCUGGAAUAAGCCUGGGAAACUGGGUCUAAUACUGGAUAUGACCUUUCUCCUUAUGGGGUUUGGUGGAAAGUUUUUCGGUGUAGGAUGAGCCCGCGGCCUAUCAGCUUGUUGGUGGGGUGAUGGCCUACCAAGGCGACGACGGGUAGCCGGCCUGAGAGGGUGAUCGGCCACAUUGGGACUGAGAUACGGCCCAGACUCCUACGGGAGGCAGCAGUGGGGAAUAUUGCACAAUGGGCGGAAGCCUGAUGCAGCGACGCCGCGUGAGGGAUGACGGCCUUCGGGUUGUAAACCUCUUUCAGCAGGGACGAAGCGUAAGUGACGGUACCUGCAGAAGAAGCACCGGCUAACUACGUG
rnacentral:rRNA from 1 species